rnacentral:rRNA from 1 species
UACGGAAGGCAGCAGUGGGGAAUAUUGCACAAUGGGCGCAAGCCUGAUGCAGCCAUGCCGCGUGUAUGAAAAAGGCCUUCGGGUUGUAAAGUACUUUCAGUCGUGAGGAAGGUGUUAAGGUUAAUAACCUUAGCAAUUGACGUUAGCGACAGAAGAAGCACCGGCUAACUCCGUGCCAGCAGCCGCGGUAAUACGGAGGGUGCGAGCGUUAAUCGGAAUUACUGGGCGUAAAGGGCACGCAGGCGGUUAAUUAAGUUGGAUGUGAAAUCCCCGAGCUUAACCUGGGAAUGGCAUUCAAGACUGGUUAGCUAGAGUCUUGUAGAGGGGGUAGAAUUCCAUGUGUAGCGGUGAAAUGCGUAGAGAUGUGGAGGAAUACCGGUGGCGAAGGCGGCCCCUGGGACAAAGGCUGACGCUCAUGUGCGAAAGCGUGGGGAGCGAAACAGGGAUUAGAUACC